CGCCAUUGACGUCGUUGAACUUGUUGUAUGUCCAUUUUGCUUUCUUCCUUCCUUUCCUUUCCUUCCCAUUAACCAAAUGCCAAUGUCGUCAGAAACAACAAUUUUAAUCUUGCUUGCCUAUUCAUAAUAUAGUAACUAAUAAGUAAAGAUAACAUCUUUUAAUAAUGAAUAUGCAGACAUCAUUGAAAACGCUCUGGAAACUUGAUUCGUAUCGUUGAUUGUUCUUAAUUUAGAUCAUUCGAAUUUUAACUAUUUUGGAUACAAUGGGGAGUUUUUAUUUGGUUUUUCAUUUUUUAAUAAAAAUUUGAAAAUUGAUUUGAUAGGUGAGAGAACUGGAAACAGACCCGCUGUUCAACUCCGGGCGUGGGUCUGCUCUUACGGAGAAAGGAACAGUAGAAAUGGAAGCCAGCAUUAUGGACGGGCCUAAAAGGAGAUGCGGUGCCGUUUCUGGCUUAACCACGGUUAAGAACCCAAUCUCCCUCGCCCGACUCGU
rnacentral:lncRNA from 1 species